GAUGAACGCUGGCGGCGUGCCUAAUACAUGCAAGUCGAGCGAACAGACGAGUAGCUUUCUCCUCGGACGGUAUCGGCGGACAGGUGGGUAACACGUGGAGAACCUCCCUAUACGACUUGCAUAACUACGGGAAGCCGGAGCUACUACCGCAUAAUAUAUUGAACCUCAUGGUUCAAGAGUGAAAGACGGUUUUUCUUUCGCUUAUAGAUGGAUCCGCGCCGGAUUAGCUGGUUGGUAAGGUAACGGCUUACCAAGGCAGCGAUGCGUAGCCGACCUGAGAGGGGGGUCGGCCGCCAUGGAAGUGAGAAGCGGCCGAGAAGACUACGGGAGGAAGCAGUAGGGAAGCUUAUGCAAUGGGCGAAAGAUGGAUGGAGCAGCGACGCGGGGGGGAUGAAGGUCUUCGGAUCGUAGAGAUCUGCUAUCGGGGAAGAAGCAAGGUGUAAGUAAUUAUGCACGGGUUGACGGUAGCUGAACAGAAAGCGACGGCUAACUACGUG
rnacentral:rRNA from 1 species